CAUUGCUUUAUGAUGAUACAAGAUUCCAAUCUUGUAGACUUAUUUUCAAGCUCACGUUUCUUUUCAUUAGUAAUUUAAAUGUCAGAAAAUUCAAAUCUUUAAAAACUUUAUUUUCAGCAUAAUUUAAGAGAGAGAGAGGAGCAAGUUAUGGGGAUCAGCUUGUAUUUUACAACUCGCUCAAAUUACUCGAGUUUAUGAACUUAAUUAAAGUCGAGAAAGAAGUAAAGAGAGGAAAAAAAAAUUAAAAUUCAUAUAAUUCUUAGUACUGCUACUGUGACAGUGUGUCAGGAGGUUUUGUAACAGUUUGUGAACCAAGAAGAAACAGAGAGUAGGGAUUUGCCACGCGAAUCUCGACAAUCCUACUCUUUAGGGCUUCAAAAAGGAACUGUAGAAUAUUUGCCGGCCUGACGGGAGUGAUUUAAAGGAUAGAAACAGUGUUUACUUUCGUCUUUGUCCACGGCAAAUGUCUACAAAACUAAGAAAAAAUAAUAAAAAUGGAAUUGUAGAUGGAAAUAUAUCAUACGUUCCCAGAGUUAUUACGACACGUUAUAUUGAAUAAAUACUGUAUUCAAAAGAA